rnacentral:rRNA from 1 species
UACGUAGGGGGCAAGCGUUGUCCGGAUUUACUGGGCGUAAAGAGCGUGUAGGCGGCCACGCAGGUCCGUUGUGAAAACUGGAGGCUCAACCUCCAGCUGUCGACGGAAACCGUAUGGCUAGAGUCCGGAAGAGGAGAGUGGAAUUCCUGGUGUAGCGGUGAAAUGCGCAGAUAUCAGGAAGAACACCAAUGGCGAAAGCACUCUGCUGGGCCGACACUGACACUGAGAGACGAAAGCUAGGGGAGCGAAUGGG